UCGGGCAAGGGGAGACAGUUGUCUGGGGGCCCCACUGCCUGGAGGGGCCCCCCAGAGGCACCUCACGUGACUCCCCAUUGCCCCCUGCCCAGCCCCAAGGCCCCUCAGCCACUUGCCCUGUUCGCCGUCUCUCCAGCUUGUUCUCCUGGCCGGCAAUCGAGGAAGCAGGCAAGCUGCGAAGAGCUCCUUUUCUCCCGCCUCUCAGCUGAUCGGCGGGUGGGCGGGGCUUCCACGGAGGCCUCGUGUAGGCCUCUGUGGAGCCUGAACUCGAGUAGGGCCCAAGCCAGCCAGGACGGAGGAGGCCGCCAGAGUGGCCACCACUGCUCUCUGCAGCAGAAGACCCCAUGCUGCCAGGAGUGACUUAUACUGAAGUUACACUGGUGUAAGUGGUCUGCAGUGUAACUGGUGCUAUAGGACUGCUCUGACCUUGAGACACAUACAAUGUUCCCAAGCUUUCAGAUGAAGAUGGGAAGGACACUUUGUUACCCAUUUUAUGAUGAUAGGCAACACGUGGGGAGACCCACUAUAGGAAAUACUCAGUAUUAUUUAGCAUACUGAAAUACCUACUACUGAUCAGCUCUGCCUCUUGGUCAAGUGAAAGGAGUAUCCCAAAGGACACCAAAUACCUUCUUACCUAUCUCCGAGAACCCUGCAGUACAGCAUAAAGCAUGUCCUUCAAACUACUGAGGUUGAGUUACAAUGUUAUGAAUGAUACCAUAUCUUUAACAAUUGUUAGGGGCUUCUGCAAUCUCUGUUUGUCUAGGUUGCACUGAUUCAUUCCUGUUACUCAUCUUUCUUUUGAGUCAAUGAUAACAAUUGAUAUGCAUGGAUUUCAUGCUGAAAUAAUAUGCACUUCUGAUUUUUGUGGUAUCUUUAUUCAGUUUUGGCAGGAAGCCA